GUAGAAGGUAUAGAAAAGGUAAAAGCUCCUUUCCUCAUCCAAAAGUUUGGUAUUUCUUGUGUAAAACUCGUCCAAGAAUAACUCCUUGUGGAAGUAGAAAUCUAAAUUAUGUGAAUAAACUGGCUGUCACUUCAAUUCACAUGCUCCUUGACAUACUUUAGAUUAAGAAUUAGUUGUGGUUUCACUUUACAUGCAUUUUAUUGGAGUUUUAUGGCUACACGUGUUUUUAUGGUAAAACAGUGGCCGUAUGAAGCUGCUGCUAUAGCUUUUGAGGCUAUACCACGUACUUUGGCUCAGAAUUGCGGGGGGAAUGUGAUUAGAACAAUGACGGCGCUGCAGGGAAAGGUUUGAAUCUGUUUUGUAUGGCUUUGUUCAGUUUUGUUAUGAUUUGUCAUUUCUAUAUACGUUCUGAUGCAUCAUUAUUAUUUUGGUCAGAAUAUGAUGCAUCAUUUAUAUCCUAACCACAAUUUUUUUUCCAUAGCAUGCAAAUGGUGAAAAUGCAUGGAUUGGCAUUGAUGGUAACACUGGUGUGAUAACUGAUGUGAAAGAGAAAAAGAUAGGUG
rnacentral:lncRNA from 1 species